rnacentral:rRNA from 1 species
AGAGUUUGAUCAUGGCUCAGAACGAACGCUGGCGGCGCGCCUAAUACAUGCAAGUCGAACGAGAAUGUGUAGCAAUACACAUGUAAAGUGGCGAACGGGUGAGGACUACAUGGGUAACCUACCCUCGAGUGGGGGAUAACCAGCCGAAAGGUUGGCUAAUACCGCGUACGCUUCCCGGACUGCGGUUCGGGAAGGAAAGCGAUACCGUGGGUAUCGCGCUCUUGGAUGGGCUCAUGCCCUAUCAGCUUGUUGGUGAGGUAACGGCUCACCAAGGCAUCGACGGGUAGCUGAUCUGAGAGGAUGAUCAGCCACACUGGCACUGCGACACGGGCCAGACUCCUACGGGAGGCAGCAGUAAGGAAUAUUGCGCAAUGGGCGAAAGCCUGACGCAGCGACGCCGCGUGCGGGAAGAAGGCCUUCGGGUUGUAAACCGCUUUCAGGAGGGACGAAGCCACUCGGGUGAAUAGCCCAGAGGGUGACGGUACCUCCAGAAGAAGCCC